rnacentral:rRNA from 1 species
UGGGGAAUAUUGGACAAUGGGCGCAAGCCUGAUCCAGCCAUGCCGCGUGAGUGAUGAAGGCCCUAGGGUUGUAAAGCUCUUUCACCGGUGAAGAUAAUGACGGUAACCGGAGAAGAAGCCCCGGCUAACUUCGUGCCAGCAGCCGCGGUAAUACGAAGGGGGCUAGCGUUGUUCGGAUUUACUGGGCGUAAAGCGGACGUAGGCGGACUUUUAAGUCAGGGGUGAAAUCCCGGGGCUCAACCCCGGAACUGCCUUUGAUACUGGAAGGCUUGAGUAUGGUAGAGGUGAGUGGAAUUCCGAGUGUAGAGGUGAAAUUCGUAGAUAUUCGGAGGAACACCAGUGGCGAAGGCGGCUCACUGGACCAUUACUGACGCUGAGGUGCGAAAGCGUGGGGAGCAAACAGG